UGGUGGAGUGAUUUGUCUGGUUGAUUCCGUUAACGAACGAGACCUCGACCUGCUAAAUAGUUCCCAGAAUCCCCCUGGAUUCUGCGUUGACACUUCUUAGAGGGACUAUCGGUGGUUAGCCGGUGGAAGUUCGAGGCAAUAACA
rnacentral:rRNA from 1 species